rnacentral:rRNA from 1 species
GAUGAACGCUGGCGGCGUGCCUAAUACAUGCAAGUCGAGCGAACAGAUAAGGAGCUUGCUCCUUUGACGUUAGCGGCGGACGGGUGAGUAACACGUGGGUAACCUACCUAUAAGACUGGGAUAACUUCGGGAAACCGGAGCUAAUACCGGAUAAUAUUUCGAACCGCAUGGUUCGAUAGUGAAAGAUGGUUUUGCUAUCACCUAUAGAUGGACCCGCGCCGUAUUAGCUAGUUGGUAAGGUAACGGCUUACCAAGGCGACGAUACGUAGCCGACCUGAGCGGGUGAUCGGCCACACUGGAACUGAGACACGGUCCAGACUCCUACGGGAGGCAGCAGUAGGGAAUCUUCCGCAAUGGGCGAAAGCCUGACGGAGCAACGCCGCGUGAGUGAUGAAGGUCUUCGGAUCGUAAAACUCUGUUAUUAGGGAAGAACAUACGUGUAAGUAACUGUGCACGUCUUGACGGUACCUAAUCAGAAAGCCACGGCUAACUACGUG